CGAACGCUGGCGGCGUGCUUUACACAUGCAAGUCGAACGGAGAAGCACCUUCGGGUGUGGAUCAGUGGCGAACGGGUGAGUAACACGUGGGUAACCUGCCCCUCACUUCGGGAUAACUCCGGGAAACCGGGGCUAAUACUGGAUAUCACCAGACCGGGCAUCCGGACUGGUUGAAAGGGUUUACUGGUGAGGGAUGGACCCGCGGCCUAUCAGCUAGUUGGUGGGGUAAUGGCCUACCAAGGCGACGACGGGUAGCCGGCCUGAGAGGGCGACCGGCCACACUGGGACUGAGACACGGCCCAGACUCCUACGGGAGGCAGCAGUGGGGAAUAUUGCGCAAUGGACGAAAGUCUGACGCAGCAACGCCGCGUGAGGGAACGAAGGCCUUUGGGUUGUAAACCUCUUUCAGCAGGGACGAAGCGAAAGUGACGGUACCUGCAGAAGAAGCACCGGCUAACUAC
rnacentral:rRNA from 1 species